rnacentral:lncRNA from 1 species
AGGAAAGGAAUUAAAAAUAUUAAGAUGAAGGGAUUGAUACACGAAUAAGAAGUUCAAAUCGACAAAGAAGAGAUUUAAAAUUAACUUAAUAAAUUAAAUGAUUAAUCAAACGUUUUACAUUCUUCUUAUAUAUAUGUAAUCUUACAUAUAUGUAAUCUCUUCCAGUUCUGAAAAUAGCUAUAGAUCGCAAAAAUGAAUAACCAUCAAUACACAUAAUAUAUACAAAUAUAUAUAUAUGUACAUAUUUAAGGCUUACUGGAAAACUAAAACAACAGACAGACUCAACCACUCACGAGACAUAUGUAUACUAAUCGUCGUUGCCUGUUAGGGCAUCAAUCAAAUAUCAAUCAAGACUCCAUUUUACCUGAGUUCAGAAUGGAGCCUUGCGUGGGCCGAAAUAGUUGUAGAAGUAGUAGACGUAGUGUUAUAAACAGAGGAACAGAGAGAUAAGUUGCGUAUAUUAAUAUAACUUGGAAUUGAUCGUUCAAUUUUGCUACAAAAUUCGCUAAUUAUAUAAUAAGGCAUUUUUAAAAAGAAAUUCUUGUGACAAAAGUGGUGGAGCUUAAGUGUCGCUGCUAAUAAUAAACGCUAGGCAGAUCUGAGAAAAAAAUGGAUCGUUUUUCUUUUCUUCUUUCUCUCUUUUUUUUUUUUUCUCUUCUUUUACCAUGCUCAACUCUCUUUUCAAUGAUCGUGAUCUUCGUGAAUCACAUUUCGAAUGAGAUUUCAUCGAACUAGAAAAAUCGCGUUAACGAAAGAAUCGUGCGUAAAAGUUGAACAUAGCGUGGUGACAUAACAGUAUGAUAGAAGCUGUAAAUAGAAUAAAUACGAAGUUUCAAUGUGUAGUGGUAAUUUGCUAAGAGGGAGAUCGAUAUUACCAAACAUCUUUAAGGAGAGUGAUCAAACGUUUGACGGUGUUUGUUCUAAAAACAACAUAUCCAAUACCAAAGGAAGACAUAACAGUGGAAUUUUAAAACAGUCAAAAACUAGGGCAAAUCUUAAAGUGACUAUCAUGGCAAGGUGAGAUAUAUAUAUAUAUAUAUGUAUAUAUAAUAUUAAAAAACACUGCAUAAGCCACAUUUCAUAAAUGAAUGAAUAGACUUUUCGUCAAAUAUAAUUCAAGAAAGCGAAAAAAUCAAGGCAACCAGAAGUGAUCGAAAAAACGUAAGUAAAUCGGUAUAUAUAUAUUUUUUUUCUAAGACUAAGGUCUUCAAAACACAGUGCCAUUAAAAUUUAUCAAAGCGUUUAAAUAUUAUCGAUAAUUCAAUUGUGAUUUAAGCAAACUAAGAUGUUGCAUUCAUUAAAUGAUGAAAUUCGCAUAAGAUUAUAAAUUCGUAAAUUCCAAUCAAAGAAUAAAAUAAAAUAAAAAAAAAAAAGAAAGAAAGAAAAAAAAUAGAAAAAAGAAAAACAAAGAAAAAACGUUAAAAAUAAAAUUCGAUUAAAUUUUAUGUAAGUAGCAAUCCAUUUAGCAUAAAUAAUUCUGCGUUCAGUGUAGCAAGCUCUGUAUCAAAGAGCAGCGUAAUAACGAAACAAAAUAAGAUUUGAUUUGCUAAAUUUGCUACGCCUUCAUCAACAUCAUGGCAAAAACGCUUGCGGAGCAAAAGAACUCUCUUGCAAGAAAUUUUGGAAUUACCUUUUUGUUGGCGUGCUUAUGGUAGUACCGUUGGAUAUUGUUAACAGUUAUUAUGAACAAUAGUAACGUGUUAAUUCAAUCGUUGAUUAAUUACGAUUAAGAUAUUAAAAGUGAUAUGCGAUAUCAGUUGUAUUAUAAUAAAAUGGAUUACUACAGAAUGAACGGUGAACUAAUGAAUGAGAAGAUGAAUUGUAUGAGUGAAUAUAUUUUGUGUGAACAAUAAAAAAAGAAUCCUUUAGUUUAUUAUUAUCUUA